GAAGCCAACAGGCGAGUGGCGAAGGUGGCGGCAGCGGCGGCGGGGACAGUCACCGGCGAGGGCGACGGCUCCGAGGCCGAGUGGCGGUCCGACAGAGUCCUCCGUGUCCUCCUCCGCAUGAGCCUCUUGUUUAUUCAAUGCAAAAGAAUCCUCUCCAAUUUUACUGAGGUGGCUGACCACGUCCACGACCAAAUCCGUCUCUAAACUGGAAUUCAGCUGCUGACCCAGCCCCAGCCUCAGCUUUCUUGUCGGCACUAAGUGGCACAGCACUCCAUCUGUGUGGAGUCUUGCUCUGUCACCUAGGCUGGAGUGCAUUGGUGUGAUCAUGGCUCACUGCAACCUCUGCCUCCCAGGUUCAAACAAUUCUCCUGCCUCAGCCUCUUGAGUAGCUGGGAUUACAGGGUCUGGUUCUGUCACCCAGGCUGGAGUGCAGUGACGCGAUCUCAGCUCACUGUAACCUCCGCCU
rnacentral:sRNA from 1 species